UACGAAGGGGCUAGCGUUGCUCGGAAUUACUGGGCGUAAAGCGCACGUAGGCGGAUCUUUUAAGUCAGGGGUGAAAUCCUGGAGCUCAACUCCCAGAACUGCCUUUGAUACUGAGGACCUUGAGUUCGGGAGAGGUGGAGUGGAAUGCGAGUGUAGGAGGUGAAAAUUCGUAGAUAUUCGCAAGAACACCGAGGCGGCAGGAGG
rnacentral:rRNA from 1 species